UUCCUCUAAUCCUCUCCCAGCACCUAUAUACACCACCUCUGAAACCCCACCUUCUACAACCAAAACCUCACAACCUCUACCUAAAUUUAAUCCUGCCCAUACAUCACUACCUCUAUCCGAAGUUGAAGAACUCAAUCAAACCACCUCUUCAUCUUCAAACCCAGAAUCACCCCCUACCUUAUCCUCUCCUCUGACCCAGAAC
rnacentral:lncRNA from 1 species